rfam:Gossypium hirsutum cultivar TM-1 chromosome 17, whole genome shotgun sequence
UAUUAAAAAUUUCAUCCACUUCUAUUGUUAAAAAGUGGCAUGGUUAGCACAAUAAUUACACCAUGUGUUCCUCUUACGGACAUACAUAGAUCGGCUUUUAACACUUGAAAUAGAUGAAAUUUUUAAUA